GACGAACGCUGGCGGCGUGCUUAACACAUGCCAGUCGAACGGAAAGGCCCUGCUUUUGUGGGGUGCUCGAGUGGCGAACGGGCGAGUAACACGUGAGUAACCUGCCCUUGACUUUGGGAUAACUUCAGGAAACUGGGGCUAAUAACGGAUAGGAGCUCCUGCUGCAUGGUGGGGGUUGGAAAUUUUCGGCGGUUGGGGAUGGACUCGCGGCUUAUCAUCUUGUUGGUGGGGUAGUGGCUUACCGAGGCUUUGGCGGGUAGCCGGCCUGAGAGGGUGAACUGCCACAUUGGGACUGAGAUACGGCCCAGACUCCUCAGGGAGGCAGAAGUGGGGAAUAUUGCACAAUGCGCGGAACACUGAUGCAGCAACGCCGCGUGCGGGAUGACGGUCUUCGGGUUGUAAACCGCUUUCGCCUGUGACGAAGCGUGAGUGACGGUAAUGUGUAGAGAAGCACCGGCUAACUACGUG
rnacentral:rRNA from 1 species